CUACGGGCGGCACCAGUGGGGAAUCUUAGACAAUGGGCGCAAGCCUGAUCUAGCCAUGCCGCGUGAGUGAUGAAGGCCUUAGGGUCGUAAAGCUCUUUCGCUGGGGAAGAUAAUGACGGUACCCAGUAAAGAAACCCCGGCUAACUCCGUGCCAGCAGCCGCGGUAAUACGGAGGGGGUUAGCGUUGUUCGGAAUUACUGGGCGUAAAGCGCGCGUAGGCGGACUGUUAAGUCGGGGGUGAAAUCCCGGGGCUCAACCCCGGAACGGCCUUCGAUACUGGCAGUCUGGAGUUCGAGAGAGGUGAGUGGAAUUCCGAGUGUAGAGGUGAAAUUCGUAGAUAUUCGGAGGAACACCAGUGGCGAAGGCGGCUCACUGGCUCGAUACUGACGCUGAGGUGCGAAAGUGUGGGGAGCAAACAGGAUUAGAUACCCUCGUAGUC
rnacentral:rRNA from 1 species